UACGUAGGUGACAAGCGUUGUCCGGAUUUACUGGGCGUAAAGAGCGCGCAGGCGGUCGUUCAAGUCGAGUGUGAAAGCCCCCGGCUCAACUGGGGAGGGUCAUUCGAUACUGAUCGACUCGAAGGCAGGAGAGGGAAGUGGAAUUCCCGGUGUAGUGGUGAAAUGCGUAGAUAUCGGGAGGAACACCAGUGGCGAAGGCGACUUCCUGGCCUGUUCUUGACGCUGAGGCGCGAAAGCUAGGGGGAGCAAACGGG
rnacentral:rRNA from 1 species